rnacentral:rRNA from 1 species
ACACCGGCAGCUCAAGUGGUAGCCGCUUUUAUUGGGCCUAAAGCGUCCGUAGCCGGUCUGAUAAGUCUCUGGUGAAAUCCCACAGCUUAACUGUGGGAAUUGCUGGAGAUACUAUCAUGACUCGAGGUCGAGAGAGGCUGGAGGGACUCCCAGGGUAGGGGUGAAAUCCUGUAAUCCUGGGAGGACCACCUUGGGCGAAGGCGUCCAGCUGGAACGAACCUGACGGUGAGGGACGAAAGCCAGGGGCGCGAACCGGAUUAGAUACCCGGGUAGUCCUGGCCGUAAACGAUGUGGACUUGGUGUUGGGAUGGCUUCGAGCUGCCCCAGUGCCGAAGGGAAGAUGUUAAGUCCACCGCCUGGGAAGUACGGCCGCAAGGCUGAAACUUAAAGGAAUUGACGGGG